GGGGUUAGUGGCGGACGGGUGAGUAACACGUGGGAACGUGCCUUUAGGUUCGGAAUAGCUCCUGGAAACGGGUGGUAAUGCCGAAUGUGCCCUUCGGGGGAAAGAUUUAUCGCCUUUAGAGCGGCCCGCGUCUGAUUAGCUAGUUGGUGAGGUAACGGCUCACCAAGGCGACGAUCAGUAGCUGGUCUGAGAGGAUGACCAGCCACACUGGGACUGAGACACGGCCCAAACUCCUACGGGAGGCAGCAGUGGGGAAUCUUGCGCAAUGGGCGAAAGCCUGACGCAGCCAUGCCGCGUGAAUGAUGAAGGUCUUAGGAUUGUAAAAUUCUUUCACCGGGGACGAUAAUGACGGUACCCGGAGAAGAAGCCCCGGCUAACUUCGUGCCAGCAGCCGCGGUAAUACGAAGGGGGCUAGCGUUGCUCGGAAUUACUGGGCGUAAAGGGCGCGUAGGCGGAUCGUUAAGUCAGAGGUGAAAUCCCAGGGCUCAACCCUGGAACUGCCUUUGAUACUGGCGAUCUUGAGUAUGAGAGAGGUAUGUGGAACUCCGAGUGUAGAGGUGAAAUUCGUAGAUAUUCGGAAGAACACCAGUGGCGAAGGCGACAUACUGGCUCAUUACUGA
rnacentral:rRNA from 1 species